rnacentral:misc_RNA from 1 species
GAUGAAGAACGCAGCGAAAUGCGAUAAGUAAUGCGAAUUGCAGAAUUUCCGUGAAUCAUCGAAUCUUUGAACGCACAUUGCGCCCGCCAGCACUCUGGCGGGCAUGCCUGUUCGAGCGUCAUUUCAACCAUCAAGCCCCCAGGGGCUUGUGCUGGGGCCCUGCGGCUGCCCGCAGGCCCUGAAAACCAGUGGCGGGCUCGCUAGUCACACCGAGCGCAGUAGCACAUCUCGCUCAGGGCGUGCGGCGGGCUCCUGCCGUGAAACCCCCCACUGUAACCCCAAAGGUUGACCUCGGAUCAGGUAGGAAUACCCGCUGAACUUAAGCAUAUCAAUAAGCGGAGGA